GACGAACGCUGGCGGCGUGCUUAACACAUGCAAGUCGAACGGAAAGGCCCUGCUUGCAGGGUACUCGAGUGGCGAACGGGUGAGUAACACGUGGGUGAUCUGCCCUGCACUUCGGGAUAAGCCUGGGAAACUGGGUCUAAUACCGGAUAGGAGCCAUUUUUAGUGUGAUGGUUGGAAAGUUUUUUCGGUGUAGGAUGAGCUCGCGGCCUAUCAGCUUGUUGGUGGGGUAAUGGCCUACCAAGGCGGCGACGGGUAGCCGGCCUGAGAGGGUGGACGGCCACAUUGGGACUGAGAUACGGCCCAGACUCCUACGGGAGGCAGCAGUGGGGAAUAUUGCACAAUGGGCGCAAGCCUGAUGCAGCGACGCCGCGUGGGGGAUGACGGCCUUCGGGUUGUAAACUCCUUUCGCUAGGGACGAAGCUUUUAGUGACGGUACCUAGAUAAGAAGCACCGGCUAACUACGUG
rnacentral:rRNA from 1 species